AUUGAACGCUGGCGGCAGGCCUAACACAUGCAAGUCGAACGAGUGGCGGACGGGUGAGUAAUGUCUGGGAAACUGCCUGAUGGAGGGGGAUAACUACUGGAAACGGUAGCUAAUACCGCAUACCAUCGGAUGUGCCCAGAUGGGAUUAGCUAGUCGGUGGGGUAAAGGCUCACCUAGGCGACGAUCCCUAGCUGGUCUGAGAGGAUGGCCAGCCACACUGGAACUGUGACACGGGCCAGACUCCUACGGUGGUCAGAAGGGGGGAAUAGUGCACAAUGGGCGCAAGCCUGAUGCAGCCAUGCCGCGUGUAUGAAGAAGGCCUGCGGGUUUUAAAGUACUUUCAGCGGGUAGGCGUUACCCGCAGAAGAAGCACCGGCUAACUCCGUGCCAGCAGCCGCGGUAAUAC
rnacentral:rRNA from 1 species